rnacentral:rRNA from 1 species
GGCGCGCGAUACAGGGUGACAGCCCCGUACACAAAAGCGCAUGUGCUGUGAGCUCGAUGAGUAGGGCGGGACACGUGGUAUCCUGUCUGAAUAUGGGGGGACCAUCCUCCAAGGCUAAAUACUCCUGACUGACCGAUAGUGAACCAGUACCGUGAGGGAAAGGCGAAAAGAACCCCGGCGAGGGGAGUGAAAAAGAACCUGAAACCGUGUACGUACAAGCAGUGGGAGCACAGGUUUACCUGUGUGACUGCGUACCUUUUGUAUAAUGGGUCAGCGACUUAUAUUCUGUAGCAAGGUUAACCGAAUAGGGGAGCCGGAGGGAAACCGAGUCUUAAUUGGGCGUUAAGUUGCAGGGUAUAGACCCGAAACCCGGUGAUCUAGCCAUGGGCAGGUUGAAGGUUGGGUAACACUAACUGGAGGACCGAACCGACUAAUGUUGAAAAAUUAGCGGAUGACCUGUGGCUGGGGGUGAAAGGCCAAUCAAACCGGGAGAUAGCUGGUUCUCCCCGAAAGCUAUUUAGGUAGCGCCUCGUGAAUUCAUCUCCGGGGGUAGAGCACUGUUUCGGCUAGGGGGCCAUCCCGGCUUACCAACCCGAUGCAAACUGCGAAUACCGGAGAAUGUUAUCACGGGAGACACACGGCGGGUGCUAACGUCCGUCGUGAAGAGGGAAACAACCCAGACCGCCAGCUAAGGUCCCAAAGUCAUGGUUAAGUGGGAAACGAUGUGGGAAGGCCCAGACAGCCAGGAUGUUGGCUUAGAAGCAGCCAUCAUUUAAAGAAAGCGUAAUAGCUCACUGGUCGAGUCGGCCUGCGCGGAAGAUGUAACGGGGCUAAACCAUGCACCGAAGCUGCGGCAGCGACGCUUAUGCGUUGUUGGGUAGGGGAGCGUUCUGUAAGCCUGUGAAGGUGGCCUGUGAGGGUUGCUGGAGGUAUCAGAAGUGCGAAUGCUGACAUAAGUAACGAUAAAGCGGGUGAAAAGCCCGCUCGCCGGAAGACCAAGGGUUCCUGUCCAACGUUAAUCGGGGCAGGGUGAGUCGACCCCUAAGGCGAGGCCGAAAGGCGUAGUCGAUGGGAAACGGGUUAAUAUUCCCGUACUUGGUGUUACUGCGAAGGGGGGACGGAGAAGGCUAUGUUGGCCGGGCGACGGUUGUCCCGGUUUAAGCGUGUAGGUGUGUGUUCCAGGUAAAUCCGGUUCACUUUAACACUGAGGCGUGAUGACGAGGCACUACGGUGCUGAAGUAACAAAUGCCCUGCUUCCAGGAAAAGCCUCUAAGCAUCAGGUAACAUCAAAUCGUACCCCAAACCGACACAGGUGGUCAGGUAGAGAAUACCAAGGCGCUUGAGAGAACUCGGGUGAAGGAACUAGGCAAAAUGGUGCCGUAACUUCGGGAGAAGGCACGCUGACAC